GAUGAACGCUAGCGACAGGCUUAACACAUGCAAGUCGAGGGGCAGCAGGGGAGUAGCAAUACUCCCGCUGGCGACCGGCGCACGGGUGAGUAACACGUAUGCAACCUGCCCUUGUCAGGGGGAUAAGCGGAAGAAAUUCCGUCUAAUACCGCAUAAUGCUGCGGGGAGACAUCUCCCUGCAGCCAAAGAUUUAUCGGACAAGGAUGGGCAUGCGGCGCAUUAGCUUGUUGGCGGGGUAACGGCCCACCAAGGCGACGAUGCGUAGGGGUUCUGAGAGGAAGGUCCCCCACACUGGUACUGAGACACGGACCAGACUCCUACGGGAGGCAGCGGUGAGGAAUAUUGGUCAAUGGCCGGGAGGCUGAACCAGCCAAGUCGCGUGAGGGAAGACGGUCCUAUGGAUUGUAAACCUCUUUUGUCAGGGAGCAAAAACUGCCACGUGUGGCAGGAUGAGAGUACCUGAAGAAAAAGCAUCGGCUAACUCCGUGCCAGCAGCCGCGGUAAUACGGAGGAUGCGAGCGUUAUCCGGAUUUAUUGGGUUUAAAGGGUGCGUAGGCGGACAGUUAAGUCAGCGGUAAAAUUGAGAGGCUCAACCUCUUCCCGCCGUUGAAACUGAUUGUCUUGAGUGGGCGAGAAGUAUGCGGAAUGCGUGGUGUAGCGGUGAAAUGCAUAGAUAUCACGCAGAACUCCGAUUGCGAAGGCAGCAUACCGGCGCCCAACUGACGCUGAAGCACGAAAGCGUGGGUAUCGAACAGGAUUAGAUACCCUGGUAGUCCACGCAGUAAACGAUGAAUACUAAUUGUUCGGGUCAAAUGAGAUCUGAGUGAUACAGCGAAAGCGUUAAGUAUUCCACCUGGGGAGUACGCCGGCAACGGUGAAACUCAAAGGAAUUGACGGGGGCCCGCACAAGCGGAGGAGCAUGUGGUUUAAUUCGAUGAUACGCGAGGAACCUUACCCGGGCUCAAACGACACAGGAAUGAUCUGAGAAAUCAGGCAGUCCUCCGGGACCUGUGUCGAGGUGCUGCAUGGUUGUCGUCAGCUCGUGCCGUGAGGUGUCGGCUUAAGUGCCAUAACGAGCGCAACCCCCAUCGACAGUUGCCAGCAGGUCAAGCUGGGCACUCUGUCGAGACUGCCGGCGCAAGCUGUGAGGAAGGCGGGGAUGACGUCAAAUCAGCACGGCCCUUACGUCCGGGGCGACACACGUGUUACAAUGGCAGGUACAGCGGGAAGCCACCUGGCGACAGGGAGCGGAACCCGAAAGCCUGUCUCAGUUCGGAUUGGAGUCUGCAACUCGACUCCAUGAAGCUGGAUUCGCUAGUAAUCGCGCAUCAGCCACGGCGCGGUGAAUACGUUCCCGGGCCU
rnacentral:rRNA from 1 species